GGAAGGGAUGUACUUAUUAGAUUAAAAACCAAUGCCCUUCGGGGCUCACUGGUGAUUCAUGAUAACUCCUCGAAUCGCAUGGCCUUGCGCCGGCGAUGGUUCAUUCAAAUUUCUUCCCUAUCAACUUUCGAUGUUUGGGUAUUGGCCAAACAUGGUUGCAACGGGUAACGGAGGGUUAGGGCUCGACCCCGGAGAAGGAGCCUGAGAAACGGCUACUACAUCCAAGGAAGGCAGCAGGCGCGCAAAUUACCCAAUCCCGACACGGGGAGGUAGUGACAAUAAAUACUGAUACAGGGCUCUUUUGGGUCUUGUAAUUGGAAUGAGUACAAUUUAAACCUCUUAACGAGGAACAAUUGGAGGGCAAGUCUGGUGCCAGCAGCCGCGGUAAUUCCAGCUCCAAUAGCGUAUAUUAAAGUUGUUGCAGUUAAAAAGCUCGUAGUUGAAACUUGGGCCUGGCUGGCGGGUCCGCCUCACCGCGUGCACUCGUCCGGCCGGGCCUUCCUUCUGAAGAACCUCAUGCCCUUCACUGGGCGUGCUGGGGAACCAGG
rnacentral:rRNA from 1 species